GCAUCAAUGGGGUAGUGGUAACCUGGGUCGUUGCCAUGAGCCAGAAUGGAUACUGAGUUGUCUUCGACCCGCCGGGGGUUCGAUUCCCUCUUGAUGCA